GAUGAAGAACGUAGCGAAAUGCGAUAAGUAAUGUGAAUUGCAGAAUUCAGUGAAUCAUCGAAUCUUUGAACGCACAUUGCGCCCGCCAGUAUUCUGGCGGGCAUGCCUGUCCGAGCGUCAUUUCAACCCUCGAACCCCUCCGGGGGGUCGGCGUUGGGGACCUCGGGAGCCCCUAAGACGGGAUCCCGGCCCCGAAAUACAGUGGCGGUCUCGCCGCAACCUCUCCUGCGCAGUAGUUUGCACAACUCGCACCGGGAGCGCGGCGCGUCCACGUCCGUAAAACACCCAACUUCUGAAAUGUUGACCUCGGAUCAGGUAGGAAUACCCGCUGAACUUAAGCAUAUCAAUAAGCGGAGGA
rnacentral:misc_RNA from 1 species